GACGAACGCUGGCGGCGUGCUUAACACAUGCAAGUCGAACGGAAAGGCCCUGCUUUUGUGGGGGGCUCGAGUGGCGAACGGGUGAGUAACACGUGAGUAACCUGACCUUGACUUUGGGAUAACUUCAGGAAACUGGGGCUAAUACCGGAUAGGAGCUACUGCUGCAUGGUGGGGGUUGGAAAGUUUCGGCGGUUGGGGAUGGACUCGCGGCUUAUCAGCUUGUUGGUGGGGUAGUGGCUUACCAAGGCUUUGACGGGUAGCCGGCCUGAGAGGGUGACCGGCCACAUUGGGACUGAGAUACGGCCCAGACUCCUACGGGAGGCAGCAGUGGGGAAUAUUGCACAAUGGGCGGAAGCCUGAUGCAGCAACGCCGCGUGCGGGAUGACGGCCUUCGGGGUGUAAACCGCUGUCGCCUGUGACGAAGAGUGAGUGACGGUAAUGGGUAAAGAAGCACCGGCUAACUACGUG
rnacentral:rRNA from 1 species